rnacentral:rRNA from 1 species
UACUACGGCCAGGCCACCCUGAACAAGGCCAAUCCUGUCUGAUCUCGGAAGCUAAGCAGGGUCGGGCCUGGUUAGUACUUGGAUGGGAGACCACCUAAGACCAGGUGCUGUAGGCG